CAGUCGCCACGGGAAUACAGAGGGUGCGAGCGUUAAUCGGAUUUACUGGGCGUAAAGCGUGCGUAGGCGGCUUUUUAAGUCGGAUGUGAAAUCCCUGAGCUUAACUUAGGAAUUGCAUUCGAUACUGGGAAGCUAGAGUAUGGGAGAGGAUGGUAGAAUUCCAGGUGUAGCGGUGAAAUGCGUAGAGAUCUGGAGGAAUACCGAUGGCGAAGGCAGCCAUCUGGCCUAAUACUGACGCUGAGGUACGAAAGCAUGGGGGGCAAACAGGAUUAGAUACCCCGGUAGUCCCUGUCUCUUAUAC
rnacentral:rRNA from 1 species